rnacentral:rRNA from 1 species
ACCCGCUGAACUUAAGCAUAUCAAUAAGCGGAGGAAAAGAGACCAACAGGGAUUGCCCUAGUAACGGCGAGUGAAGCGGCAUCAGCUCAAAUUUGAAAUCUGGCUCUUUUAGGGUCCGAGUUGUAAUUUGCAGAGGGCGCUUUGGCAUAGGCAGCGAUUCAAGUUCCUUGGAACAGGACGUCACAGAGGGUGAGAAUCCCGUACGUGGUCGCUAGCUCUUGCCGUGUAAAGCCCCUUCGACGAGUCGAGUUGUUUGGGAAUGCAGCUCUAAAUGGGAGGUAAAUUUCUUCUAAAGCUAAAUAUUGGCCAGAGACCGAUAGCGCACAAGUAGAGUGAUCGAAAGAUGAAAAGUACUUUGGAAAGAGAGUCAAAAAGCACGUGAAAUUGUUGAAAGGGAAGCGCUUGCAGCCAGACUUGCCUGUAGUUGCUCAUCCGGGCUCUUGCCCGGUGCACUCUUCUGUAGGCAGGCCAGCAUCAGUUUGGGCGGUUGGAUAAAGGUCUCUGUCAUGUACCUCUCUUCGGGGAGGCCUUAUAGGGGAGGCGACAUACAACCAGCCUGGACUGAGGUCCGCGCAUUCGUGCUAGGAUGCUGGCGUAAUGGCUGU